GACGAACGCUGGCGGCGUGCUUAACACAUGCAAGUCGAACGGAAAGGCCCUGCCUUUGUGGGGUGCUCGAGUGGCGAACGGAUGAGUAACACAUGAGUAACCUGCCCUUCACUUUGCGACUGGUUCACGAAACUGGGGCUAAUCUCAGAUAGGAUCUCCUGCUGCUGUGUGGUGGUUGGAAAGUUUCGGCGGUUGUUGAUGGGCUCGCGGCGUUUGAGCUUGUUGGUGGGGUAGUGGCUUAACAAGGCUUUGACGGGUAGCCGGCCUGAGAGGGUGACCGGCAACAUUGGGACUGAGAUACGGCGCAGACGCCUACGGGAGGGAGCAGUGGGGAAUAUUGUGAAGUGGGCGGAAGCCUGAUGCGGCGACGCCGCGUGCGGGAUGACCGCCUUCGGGUUGUGAACCGCGUUCGCCUGGGACGAAGCGUGAUUGACGGUAAUGGGUAAAGAAGCACCGGCUAACUACGUG
rnacentral:rRNA from 1 species